rnacentral:siRNA from 1 species
UGGGCUUGGGAUACCUGGG